GGAAGCAGGGGAUCGUAAGACCUUGCGCUUUUGGAGCGGCCGAUGUCUGAUUAGCUAGUUGGUGGGGUAAUGGCCUACCAAAGCUUCGAUCAGUAGCUGGUCUGAGAGGACGGCCAGCCACACUGGGACUGAGACACGGCCCAGACUCCUACGGGAGGCAGCAGUGGGGAAUUUUGGACAAUGGGCGCAAGCCUGAUCCAGCCAUGCCGCGUGAGUGAAGAAGGCCUUCGGGUUGUAAAGCUCUUUCAGCCGGGAAGAAAAGGCUGCGACUAAUAAUCGCAGUUCAUGACGGUACCGGAAGAAGAAGCACCGGCUAACUACGUGCCAGCAGCCGCGGUAAUACGUAGGGUGCGAGCGUUAAUCGGAAUUACUGGGCGUAAAGGGUGCGCAGGCGGUUUUGUAAGUCAGAUGUGAAAUCCCCGGGCUUAACCUGGGAACUGCGUUUGAAACUACAAGGCUAGA
rnacentral:rRNA from 1 species